GAGAAAUUUCAUUAGAAUAUUUUUGGAAAUCUGCUCAACCUCUGACACAUUGAGCUGGGACCGCCUGCAGGAUUAUGUUGGAAAAGAGGAGGAUUUCUCUGACCAUCAGCUCUGUGGACAGGGGAGGAAAUCCAGUUUGGACCAAGAGGAAUCUGAACAUCCGCAGAUAAAAGAAGAGCAUCAAAAGCCAGAACAUCCCUGUAUAAAAGAGGAAACCAUGGAGCUCCCCAUAAGUGAGCAAAAAGAACAGCUUGUUCUUAAGCAGACGAUUAAAGAUACAAGAGAGAAUCCUUUCCCAUGUUUGACAUGUGGAGAAAACUUUCUUAAAAAAAAGCAUUUAAUGGUUCACAUGAGAACU